AGGGUGGAGCUCAAUGUAGAGCACAUGCUUAGCAUGCAUGAGGUCCUGGGUUCAAUCCCCAGUACUUCUA
rnacentral:tRNA from 1 species